ensembl:lincRNA 4930513D17Rik RIKEN cDNA 4930513D17 gene
AUAGAGGGAACAGGUGGAGAGGACUGGAGCAGUGGCUGAGAACACACAUCUUAAACCACAAGUGGGAAGCAGAGAGAAUAUCCUCAAAAUGGAAUUUUGAACAUUUAUCUGAUGCCUUAGUAAUAAAUCCAUUUCCUCCAUGGAAAAGAUGGUCUUUACUCAUUUAUGCAUGGACAGUGAAGUUCUUCUCUUCUUGAUGCAAAAUAUUGUCAUCUUCGGAUAAUUUUCCAAAUAUAAGUGAACCAGGACACCAGCUGAGAGCCAGUGUCUUCUGUAACUUACAAGCAAGAUACAUCUGUGAAGCCUCAGCAAUAGAGAUGAGUAAGCAUAACCUUGCACAAUAACAGCACCAGUUGACCUGCCACUGUGGAAGGGAGGUUUGGCUCUCUUCCGAAGCACAAGUAAAGAAGUGAGGUCUCUGAGGAAAUACAAGAGGCAAGAGGCAGGUGACAGAUCUGCAAGAAAAUCCCUAGGAAAAAAAUAGAACUGACUUUGUAAUCACAACAGCUACAACUCUGGACCUUUGUGGCAAAUUACUCUAAAUGCAAGAAGGAAACAGGCAAUGAUAGGAAAAGAUAAUGUUCUGAGGCAGACAUUGGACUGAAGACCAGGAAGAAUGACGUCAGAUUCUCUUCCAUGAGAAAAGAAUCACUGUAAGCAGUAAUGGGGGAGAGAAAAAACAGGAAACUAAAUAUCCUUAGAGGCAUGGAAUUGUAGAUCAAAUACUGUUGCUAGUGAGACUACGGCUUUUGGCCUGUGAGCUUCUAUUUUCUCCUUGCAAUAGUACAACAAUAAAACCUAUUUUUAUUGGUCAAGC